UACGUAGGGGGCAAGCGUUGUCCGGAAUUAUUGGGCGUAAAGGGUGCGUAGGCGGCCUUACAAGUUGGAUGUGAAAUCCCCGUGCUUAACAUGGGAACUGCAUCCAAAACUGUAGGGCUUGAGUGUGGAAGAGGUAAGUGGAAUUCCCAGUGUAGCGGUGAAAUGCGUAGAUAUUGGGAGGAACACCAGUGGCGAAGGCGACUUACUGGGCCACAACUGACGCUGAGGCACGAAAGCGUGGGGAGCAAACAGG
rnacentral:rRNA from 1 species